rnacentral:lncRNA from 1 species
UUUCUGGUCUACAUCUGAAGAAUCCACAAAAGGUAAUUGAGGAGAGUAAAUCUAUUGCCAGUCAGCUUUGGUUUGCUAUAUAAGAAGCACUGCAUAUCUUCUGAAAAAUGCUUAAGACUCUUCAAGUUGAUAUAAGAUAUAUUUUGGAUCACCACAAGACUGUCCAUUUGUAGAUCAGACUGCGAAGCACCAUCUUAUUGGAGACAAGGUACCCACCCUGCUGGCAGUGUGUGAAACUGACACAUGCCACAUUCAUUCAUGGCUAUUUUAUCUCCUCCCUUGUUCUAACAUCUAUAAUGUUAUACAUCAUUUCUUUCAUAAUUUUUUGAGUGCACCAUCAGCUGUCAGUGUGGCAGGUGGCCAUCAGCCUGCAAUCCUUAGCUGCAGAGAUGGAGAGAACUUUGCAAGAGCAAGUGAACAGGAAGAAAGAACUGCUAGCAAAACCCACCAAAAAAAAAAAAGAGGACAGCAGGACUUUGUAGAGAAUACAUUAGAAAUAGGCUGGAGGUGUGUAGAAUAGGAAAAGGUAGGUAACUUGGAACAAGAUAGAGAAAUUAUUUGCUAAGAGGAACAUGCUUCUGACAACCGUCCUUAAUGUCUAAACUUCCUGUACCUGUCUGUAGCUUUCAGAUCUGCUGUCCUUACCAAAAGACAUUUGUGAACAGAGCGCUCUACAGCAAAGCUCUACAGCUGCUCAAGAUGCUAAUUCUGGGUCUUCCUGGUUAGGUGAGCUGGGCCAGUGGCCCUCCCUGAUUUUUAAAUUUUUAUAUCUGUAAAAGAAGAAUAUAAUCAGGCCUCAGGGGAUGCUUACAGGAUUCAUAGGUUAUAUGUGUAAGGGCAUUGAGCUUGAGGAGCGCUACAGAUAUAAUCAUGGACCUUAUACCCCACCUGCCCAUACAGAAAAUAAUUUUUUUAAAAAGAGAGAUAAAGUGGCAACUGCCAUCUCAAUCUAAAUAGGGAGCAUUACCAUCCACCCUGCAGCCUGAUUCCUACUCUGCCUGAACUGGAACACCCUCCAUCUUCUGGGAAUGAUUCUCACAAAGGAACACAACAUGAAGCAACCAAAGGAUGCACCUUGGAGUGAGCAGGUGUCACACAUGUCACUAAAAGCAUGUGUUACACUCCUGCAUCAUGACUGUGGUGCUCUGCUCUUCACCUCUACCUCUGGCUUCCUUCAAAAGUAAUGGUUUGAAUCUCUGAUGUUGUUCAUCAGCAUUUGUGCAGUAAUCUGCAGCAAUCUUCAAUCUUACACCUUGACUACUUACAUGAUGCUACAGCCAGUGGCACUGGUUGAUUAUUUUACAAAUGCAAAGCCAACUGCAUUUAAUAUUAUCUCUAACUGAACUGAACAUCGACCCAAAUAAUGUCACAGUCUAAGAUUAAGGAAAAAAAAGGCAGAGGAGCACCAAGGUAAAGUCACCUGCUGAAAUCAGAGGAAAAACAAAUAUUAAGGAAAGAACAGUCUUUGCUAGGCCUACGAGAUGGACAGCUCCACCUGGUAUUGCUUCUCUGUCUCCCAU